rnacentral:rRNA from 1 species
GAUGAACGCUGGCGGCGUGCUUAACACAUGCAAGUCGAACGAGAAGUGAAGACGGAAACCUUCUGGCGGAAGGCUUUAUUUCGAGUGGCGUACGGGUGAGUAACGCGUGGGUAACCUGCCUCAUACAGGGGGAUAACAGUUGGAAACGACUGUUAAUACCGCAUAAGACCACAGCACCGCAUGGUGCGGGGGUAAAUACUCCGGUGGUAUGAGAUGGACCCGCGUUCGAUUAGUCAGUUGGCGGGGUAACGGCCCACCAAAGCGACGAUAGACAGCCGAUCACAGAGGAAGACCGGACACAUUGAGACUGAGACACGGCCCAAACUCCUACGGGAGGCAGCAGUGGGGAAUAUUGCACAAUGGGGGAAACCAUGAUGCAGCGACGCCGCGAGAGUGAAGAAGUAUUUCGGUAUGUAAAGCUCUAUCAGCAGGGAAGAAAAUGACGGUACCUGAGGAAGAAGCCCCGGCUAACUACGUG